ACGCUCUUCUGCGUUCGCUCUCCCUCGCUCUACCGCUCUCGCUGUCGGCGCAGCGUCUGCUGCUGCUGCUGACGCUGCCGCUGCUGCUGCUGCUGGUGCUGGUGCUGGUGCUGGUGCUGCGGCUGGCUCGGAGCCACGACGCCCGCACACACAUUUCCAAGCCUCAUUCCAUAAACAACUGUGAACGUGAACGGUAACGUUAUGUUUUGUAUCCACUGUGCGUGCGUUUUCUACUUCGUUUAAUACACACUACGAAUUCAAUUUAUUUCCAUAAAUAAUACAUAUUAUUGUUGUUGUUGCUACCGUGUAAAAUUGUGACUAUAAAUUGACUUUUAUAUUAUUUUAUUUUCAUUUUCAUUUCGCCUGUGUGUGUGUGUGUGUUUUUUUUUUCUUGUGUGCAAAAUCUUUUUCUUUGUGAACGCGGAUUCAUCAAUGCGUCUGUGUGCGUGUGCCUAUGUGCGUCGCAUUGUAUGUGCGUGUGUGUGUGCUGCCAUGUGAGGCGCUUGCACUACAACAACAACAACAACAACAACAGCAACAACAAACAGCUGUCAUAAUGCUAGCAACAACAGCUACGAGAGCGACUAGGAAAAAAUGAAAGGCAACAAGCGACAA